rnacentral:sRNA from 1 species
GCAACUGCUUCAAGAAGAAGAGGGAAUAAAUAAGACUUUCUCCCUACUCACCACAUCAUCAUCUAUUUUAACGUAUAUCUUUCCCCUCUCGAGAUGCUUCCAGAUUUGUCUGAACUCUGGGCCUCGAACCUUUCUCCCAAGAUCCAGCUUUCUGUGUCGUGGAGAGCUGGCCAGGGUUUCAUCGAGAUACCUCAGAUCAUCUUCAUUUUCGGUAUUGACAACCCAUAAUACUUCAUCCAACCAUCCAUUAUUGUCGGCCAAAUUGCGCUGUUGUGAGCAACCGUGCUGUCAGUCAAAGCCCCAGAAGAAUCGUGGUACACACAGCCUAUUUCUCUGCAAUAGAAGAAGAGUUUUCAUACCUCCACAUAGCAGCGCAUUGCCUCGACACGAUCCCGACGGCCAUAGAAUACAAAGCCGCUAAUGAUAAUAUUUUCAGGUUUGAUGAAUUCGGUUUCACUCGCAUUCACAUUUCCCGGCAGAUGGAAAGGAUUUAUCUGUGCAGUUCUGGUUGAAUCCUUUGGUCCUGAACUUCGGGCCCUGUAAAGGGUGUUCGUGAGGGGAAUACAUUGAGGAGCGACAGGGCAACGAGGGCGUACAACGUGGAUCUCUUCUUGAAGUUCGACACUAUCGAUUCGCGGUAGUUGGAUUUAUUCAAGUUAUUGGACAAGGGAAUGCUUGUCGUCAUUGCUCUAGGGGCACCCUUCGUGCUCCAGCUCUUUCACGGAAUGACAGUGAGAUGAAUCAAAAUAACGGACGUUCAUUCGCAUCGCCGUACUGUACGAUUCCGUACUAACGGGACGACGCGAAAUGGUCGACAGUUAAGGAGGUCCAAAACUAUCAUUGAGCCCUUAAAUUAGGCGCACCUGCUAUCACGAAACCCUGAUUCGCCGUAAGGCUCAAAGAAGGCGCAAAGAAGGCGCAAAGCCGGCGGCUGAGACUGACAAACUUAUUAGGGCAUGUUAAUUAAACUAGCUAGCUAGGUUAGGCGAUAAUUCCUCCAACGAAUUCGUUUAACUAGUUAGCGAAUUGACAUCAAGAUUCCAUGGAGCGUGGCGACUUGGAGGCAUUACAUGGGGACUUUGGUUAAGCUACUUAAGCAAAUGAGAAGAGGAAAAUGGGGAGUCUAUCUGAUUAAAUGUACCUAUAACUAAUUAUUUUAGUCAAAAUGCGUAAAUACCAAGGUGUCAGGAAUUAUCAUGGAAGUUAUGCGCGGUAUGGGACGUUGGAAUGAAUCCAUAUUAGACCUAGGUCUUAGACCUCAAUCUUGGCUCUAGAAUACCAAUAAACAUGGGCAUACACAGUAAAUGAAACGUUAACUGUCUCGCGA